AUCAUGAUGAAUGUCAUCUAUUUAAAAUCAUGCAACAUUUACUAACAUAUGCUUGAUCCUAAUUUUGUGAAAACAUAAAUAAUCAAAUACAAUUUUAUGAUCAAAUAUAAGACUAUAUCAGGGUCGCUUACCUUAAUUUGCUCACCAAAUGCCAAUUCUCUAAUAUCUAGCAAGAUCAUUAAAUUACAUGUCACUUGCACAUUUGAUUUCUAUUUAUUUAUAAUCUUAAAGUCAUUUGCAGCCCAUCCAUAGGACUCAAUUUUAUUUUCGGAUCCAUACCCACUAGCAUGGGACUUACAUAGCAAUCUGGGAGCUUUUAAAUUAUAUCAUUUCUUUCAUAAAUCUUAUUUCAUAGAUACAUUAAAAGGUGAAUAAUGGCAUCAUAUGAAAUUCAUGAUCAUGCUAUAAACUUUAAUUUUUGUGCUAGCUUUUAUAUCAUUCAUAAAUUAUGUACAUAGCAUGAUAAUCAUGAUGAAUGUCAUCUAUUUAAAAUCAUGCAACAUUUGCUAACACAUGCUUGAUCCUAAUU
rnacentral:lncRNA from 1 species